AAUUCGAUGGUACGCGAGAAACCUUACCAGGGCUUGACAUACACCGGAAGCGCCGUGAAAGCGGCGUGCCGCUUGCGGCCGGUGAACAGGUGCUGCAUGGCUGUCGCCAGCUCGUGCUGUGAAGUGUUGGGUUAAGUCCCGCAACGAGCGCAACCCCUGCCGUCUGUUGCCACCACGAAAGGUGGGGACUCAGGCGGGACCGCCGGUGACAAACCGGAGGAAGGUGGGACGACGUCAAGUCAUCAUGGCCCUUAUGUCCUGGGCCACACACGUGCUACAAUGGCCGGUACAGAGCGCAGCGAGGCCGCGAGGCGGAGCGAAUCGCUUAAAGCCGGUCCCAGUACGGAUUGGAGUCUGCAACCCGACUCCAUGAAGUUGGAAUCGCUAGUAAUCGCGCAUCAGCAUGGCGCGGUGAAUACGUUCCCGGGCCUU
rnacentral:rRNA from 1 species